GAGGGUACAGCUCAGUGGUAGAGUGUGAACUUAGCAUGCAUGAGGUCCUGGGUUCAAUCCCCAGUACCACCA
rnacentral:tRNA from 1 species